AGACGGGACACAUCUCCAGUUUGUGCGUGAAUCGAACCCCUUUUAGCCGUCCAUCUGUUUGAUAGAUAAUCCAACGGUGUUAGAUUCACGCACAAACUCGUGAUCAGUCUCCUCU